GCCCUCGUGGAUGAAUCGGUACAUCAUCCAUAUUGCAUGAGCCUUCGUAUCACACAUUGAGUGGAAGGCGGAGGUUCGAAUCCUCCUGGGGGCA